GACCUAAGAGGCUUCCCUGGUGGUGCAGUGGUUGAGAAUCUGCCUGCCAAUGCAGGGAACACGGGUUUGAGCCCUGGCCCGGGAAGAUCCCACAUGCUGCGGAGCAACUAAGCCCGUGUGCCACAACUACUGAGCCUGCGCUCUAGAGCCCUCGAGCCACAACUACUGAGCCCACAUGCCUAAAGACCGUGCUCCGCAGCAAGAGAAGCCACCACAAUGAGAAGCACACGCACUGCAACGAAGAGUAGCCCCCACUUGCCUCAACUAGAGAAAGCCCGCGCAUAGCAACGAAGACCCAACACAGCCAAAAAUAAAUAAAUUUAUUUAUUUUUUAAAAAAGAAGACCUGAAAAGAGCUGCUUAUAUUUAAAUGCAUUGCAGGAAGGGGAAUUUUUAACAGUCAGCCUUUCUUACUAGUGUUAUUUUCGCCUUGCUUUCAUGAGACUGUCCUCCAAAUGCAUACUUUGACAAAGCCAAGGCCUAAAAAAAAGAGACCCAUCAGUCCAAAAUUGUCUAAUUCCCAUGGCUACAAUCUACUUGUAUGUGAACUCAGAAAAUCCUAGCAUGGACUAAAAUAUCGUUUCUAGCAUGACACUUUAUUUCAACAGGAAUAUUUAUAAGUUAGGGAAAUCCAGGAAGCUCUAUGAACUUAAGAUCAUCAACCCCUUCAAGUACCCCUGGGGUACACAUACUCCAUGUUAAAGGCCACUGUUCUAACUUAGCAAGUCAAGUCAACCAGAAUCUUGUUUGCAUUGAAGCAUUAGACCUUCUGGGUAUAACUUAGUAGGAUACCUCAGGUCAGAGUGUUGGACUCCCAGACCUCAGAUCCAAGACAGGGGCUGGGCUCCCCUCCCUGGGCCUGCCUCCACCCAAAAGUUCCCAAUGUCAAGGAGAGGACCUGAGAGCCACCUCCUGCCUCUUCUGGUCAUGAGCCCAGAUCACAGAAGAGGAAAUUUCUGAGUGCAGCAUCAGUGGGGUCCUUGUGGUUCUCUGUGACCAUGUCCCCGUGUAACUCUUAAUAUACUGUUAACCGGAGAGAACCCAGAACCGACCAAGCGCAUCCACUUUAUGCAGUGUAAGGCAGACCUGCAAUCACCAAGAAGAAAAAGUUCUCCUUCAAUAUCCAGCUGGCAGCAGUAGGAGAAGCAGUGAAGAGAAAUAUACCCAGAGUCUCUGCAACCAUCCCAACCCUUCCAGGACUGGGACAGCUGUUGGAAAGACACCAGAAAGGAUGCAGAUGAAAUAAAUUCAUACAAAAAGUCACGUGAGGGCCAGGC